rnacentral:lncRNA from 1 species
GUUAGGAUCGAGAGCACUAAGAGGGGGGGGUGAAUUAGUGCAGCGGAAAUCUUACAACGAUUAAAAACGAAAGCUGCGUUCGUUCGAUAAAAAAGAAUUAUUAUGAUGCAAAAGCCGAUUCACAGUUUGUAUCUAAGUGCAAUUUGCGCAGUUUGCGUCUAAAUGCAGUUUUGCGUCUAAAUGCAGUUUGCGUCUAAACGCAGAUUGCGUCUAAGCGUAGUUUGUGUCUAAACACAGUUUACGUCUAAACACUAUUUGCGUCUAAGCGCAGUUUGCGUCUAAACACAGAUUGCGUCUAAGCGCAGUUUACGUCUAAACGCAGUUUGCGUCUAAACGCAGUUGGCGUCUAAGCGCAGUUUGAAGUCUUGAGCGCAGUUUACGUCUAAACGCAGUUUGCGUCUAAACACAGUUUACGUCUAAACACAGUUUACGUCUAAACGCAGUUUGCGUCUAAACGCGGUUGGCGUCUAAGCGCAAAUGACAGUUUGUAGUUAUAAAUGGAAUCAAGACGUAAAUGUAAACUGCACAGAAACUCGUUCGUAAAAGCACAGAAGACAAUUUGCAGUUAUAAAUGAAAUCAAGACGUAAACGUAAACUGCACAAAAACUCGUUCGUAAAAGCGUAGAAGAUAGUUCGCAGUUAUAAACAGAUUCAAGACGUAAAUGUAAGCUGCAAUGUAAAGAUCGUACGAAAACACCUUUUUACGUCUGAAUGCAGAUUUGGAAAGAUUAGAACUUAGAAACUUGUUCGUAAAAGCGCAGAGAGCAGUAGCUAUGUAGGAGGUUUGCAGUAACGAUAAAGUGCUCAAAAUAAACGCAAACCAGAGAUUUAGAGUGGUUCGGUCAGUCUUGACCUACUCCACUUUUGGCUUCCUCCACCGGCGAGGUCACCGACGUCAACUACAGGCCUUCCUUC